UGUGUAGGCGGAUCUCUAAGUACCUUGUGAAAUCCCACGGCUCAACCGUGGAACUGCUUGGUAUACUGGAGAUCUUGAGCCACCUAGGGGCGAGCGGAACAAAUGGUGGAGCGGUGAAAUGCGUAGAUAUCAUUUGGAACGCCAAUGGUGAAAACAGCUCGCUGGGGGUGUGCUGACGCUGAGACACGAAAGCCAGGGGAGCAAACGGGAUUAGAUACCCCGGUAGUCCUGGCCAUAAACGAUGUCCACUAGAUCGCAGUGCCUUGACGGUAUUGCGGUCGAAGCAAAAGUGCUAAGUGGACCGCCUGGGAAGUACGGUCGCAAGGCUAAA
rnacentral:rRNA from 1 species